rnacentral:lncRNA from 1 species
AUUCUAUGUUCAGCGAGCGCCUUGUGCCAGCUCGUCUGAAACCCCUUCUGCCCACAGGGGCAUGAAAACAGGGACGUGUACUGUAGGACCUGCAGGCAGUUCUUCAGUUCUCUGCAUAACAAGAAGGAACACCUGCUGGGGAAGCAGCACCCGCAGAACCUCACAGGGGAAUUUGAAAGAGUCUGUCGAGCGCUCCAAGCCUCUGAAGUCUCUGAAAGAAGAGGAAAGCCAGAGUUUGAACAAGGGGAGUCGGAAGAGGAAGCCAAGUGCCCUGAUGCCCUUCUGCUCCGAGCCUGGCUCCAGAGAAUUUUGCUUUGCUCGACUUGUAUUUCUUGCAAGAGUCUAUCUUUAAACUGCUUAAAAGUGAGUGGUCAAUUUGGUGGCCACACAAUUGGUGAUCGAGGGUUUUGUAAUGCAAGUCAGAAGAAAUCACACAAUAGGUUAUACUAUUACAUGGAAACCACCAGAAAAUGGUGCAGUGUAAGAUUGUGAGAGUAAAAAUGAUAACCAGAAGGAGAGGAAGCGGUGCACCCCAGCAUGCCAGGCAUGGUGCUCUGUACAGGGAAUGGCCUUUUCAUUCUCAUACCAGUACUGUGAGCCAGGUAAGAGAAUUUGGUUUAAUAUAUACCCAGGGGACCUGAAUCUCUGGACUGACCAUGUGAUAGCCAGGCCCUGAGCCUCAACAGACUUUAGCUCCUACACUCUGAUUUCUUGGACUUACCCCACUCAGCUAACAUGGAGUUGAAGAAGGUCAACCACCACACCAGGGAGCCAAGAGUGCCUACAGCUGCAAGCAGGAGGAUUGCAUCCAGCAUCCAUGUGGAAUCUAAGCCCCCUCUUGAUAUAGAUGUGGAGUGGACACAACCAAUCCAAGGUCCACAGGAUGGAGGAAUAGAGUAUGGAUUAGAGUGGACUUACUGAUAUUCUAUUCAUGAACUAUUGUGAUUAGCAAUCGAAGAAAAUGUGGCAUUGGUGUGGAGAAAGUGGCCAUGGUGGCUGCUGGGGGUAGGGAGUGGGAGGAAGAGAUGUGAUGUGGGGGUGUUUUCGGGACUUGGAGUUGUCCUGGGUGGUGCUGCAGGGACAGAUGCUGGACAUGGUAUGUCCUGCCAUGGCCCACUGGGUGGACUGGGGGAGAGUGUGGGCUAUGGCGUGGACCAUUGACCAUGAGGUGCAGCAGUGCUCAGAGAUGUAUUCACCAAGUGCAAUGAAUGUCUCAUGAUGAUGGAGGAGGUUGUUGCUAUGGGGGGAGGAGUGGAGUGAGGGGGGUGGGGAGUAUAUGGGGACCUCAUUUUUAAAAAAUGUAAUAUUAAUAAAAUAAAGACAUAAAUAAAUAAAGAGGAGGAAAGGGUGGCACAGAGAGUGUUAAGCAG